rnacentral:rRNA from 1 species
UCCAGACUCCUACGGGAGGCAGCAGUGGGGGAUAUUGCACAAUGGGGGAAACCCUGAUGCAGCGACGCCGCGUGGGCGAAGAAGUAUUUCGGUAUGUAAAGCCCUAUCAGCAGGGAAGAAGAAAUGACGGUACCUGAGUAAGAAGCACCGGCUAAAUACGUGCCAGCAGCCGCGGUAAUACGUAUGGUGCAAGCGUUAUCCGGAUUUACUGGGUGUAAAGGGAGCGUAGACGGCUGUGCAAGUCUGAAGUGAAAGGCAAGGGCUCAACCUUUGGACUGCUUUGGAAACUGUGCAGCUAGAGUGUCGGAGAGGCAAGUGGAAUUCCUAGUGUAGCGGUGAAAUGCGUAGAUAUUAGGAGGAACACCAGUGGCGAAGGCGGCUUGCUGGACGAUGACUGACGUUGAGGCUCGAAAGCGUGGGGAGCAAACAGGAUUAGAUACCCUGGUA